GCCUUCGUGGACCAUGGUGGUCGCCUCGCUUCUAUUAGAACGGAACGCAAAUGCAACGAGGAGAAGGAGGUUCGAUUCCUCCCGGAGGCA